AUUGAACGCUGGCGGCAUGCUUUACACAUGCAAGUCGAACGGCAGCGGGGACUUCGGUCCGCCGGCGAGUGGCGAACGGGUGAGUAAUGCAUCGGAACGUGCCUAUCAGUUGGGGGAUAACGCUUCGAAAGGAGUGCUAAUACCGCAUAUUCUCUGAGGAGGAAAGUAGGGGACCCUUAGGGCCUUGCGCUGAUAGAGCGGCCGAUGUCGGAUUAGCUAGUUGUGAGGUAAGGCUCACCAAGGCGACGAUCCGUAGCGGGUCUGAGAGGAUGAUCCGCCACACUGGGACUGAGACACGGCCCAGACU
rnacentral:rRNA from 1 species